rnacentral:rRNA from 1 species
CCCUUAGAUGUCCUGGGCUGCACGCGCGCUACACUGAUGUGUCCAGUAAGCACCUAACCUCUUCCGAAAGGAACGGGUAACCUUUGCAAAGCACAUCGUGAUGGGGAUAGAUUAUUGCAAUUAUUAGUCUUGAACGAGGAAUUCCUAGUAAGCACAAGUCAUCAGCUUGUGUUGAAUACGUCCCUGCCCUUUGUACACACCGCCCGUCGCUCCUACCGAUUGAGUGGUCCGGUGAGGCUUUGGGAUCUGAGCGGAAAGAGCGUUUCGCUGUUUCUGCUCGGAAAACUCAGUCGAACCUUAUCAUUUAGAGGAAGGAGAAGUCGUAACA